rnacentral:rRNA from 1 species
GACGAACGCUGGCGGCGUGCCUAACACAUGCAAGUCGAACGGAGAUGUUAAUGAAGCUUGCGAUUUGAUAUCUUAGUGGCGGACGGGUGAGUAACGCGUGGGUAAUCUACCUAGUAGUGGGGGACAACAGUUGGAAACGACUGCUAAUACCGCAUACCUUGAGUAAUCAAGAAAGAUGGCCUCUGAAUAUGCUGUCGCUAUUAGAUGAGCCCGCGUCUGAUUAGCUAGUUGGUGGGGUAAAGGCCUACCAAGGCGACGAUCAGUAGCCGGCCUGAGAGGGUGAACGGCCACACUGGGACUGAGACACGGCCCAGACUCCUACGGGAGGCAGCAGUGGGGAAUAUUGCGCAAUGGGGGAAACCCUGACGCAGCGACGCCGCGUGAGCGAAGAAGGCCUUAGGGUUGUAAAGCUCUGUUUUAAGGGACGAAUGUUACGGGGAGUAAUAUGCCCUGUAAAUGACGGUACCUUAAGAGGAAGCCCCGGCUAACUACGUGCCAGCCGCCGCGGUAACAC